UGAGGAAUCUUGCGCAAUGGGCGAAGGCCUGACGCAGCCAUGCCGCGUGAAUGAUGAAGGUCUUAGGAUUGUAAAAUUCUUUCACCGGGGACGAUAAUGACGGUACCCGGAGAAGAAGCCCCGGCUAACUUCGUG
rnacentral:rRNA from 1 species